rnacentral:snRNA from 1 species
CAAUAAUAUGCGACCUGAGCCACUGAAAUUGGAGCCACACAGGGAAAAUUAGCGAAGCCCAUGCUCAAGGAUGACACCGAGAUUUGUGUAUUAUUUCACAUUUUU